CUGGUACAGCUGUUGGAAACACAGGGGAAAGUGUUGGUACAUCAGUUACCCGGACAACGCCAUCAACAUAUCAAACUUUGAGUACAACAGGGAUGAUGAACGGUGCUACAGCUGUUGAAGUGCUAGAUCCUUUAGCAUUAGUGGUAUGCCUGUUGGCUUGCGGUAUCUCCUAAACGUUUACGUUGAUGAAAAAGGAAACAACGUUCGAUGUCUUUACAUAGCUUUAAUUUUGUCAAUAUAUCCAUGUAUAUUUCAGUGCAUUCGUGUGUAUUUGUAUUUGAUAUAGUCUAUAAAGUAACAAAAAAUAUUCUCAUAGCAUAUAAAAUGAGUAGAACAAACUGAUUCAAAAGUCCAUCGUCGUGAAAAUAUAUUUCAUUCUUUUUACAAGCAUCAAUUGGAAUAAUUGUAUACCGAAAUUGAUAACAAUGUCAAAGAUUAGACCAAAAGAAAGGUUUGAUUGCAAAGGAUACAUCAAGGUUAAGCAAAUCUGUUCUCAAUUGAAAAAAGAGUGUCACCGAAAAUGUUUAACUGGUUUUGAACAUUGAGGGAUAUAAAGUUUAACUUUGAUCUUCAUUUAGAGAUUCAAAGUAUAGAUCUUAUUUAGGUGUUCACAUUUGAUGAAAAGAAGAUCUUUUCCUCGGCUCUUAGUGAGCUUAUGAUCUUGGAAGGGUUACUAAAAUUACAUUGUAACUAAUAACAACAUAUAAUGUAUUGGUUCAUUCAAUUCUAUUGUGGAGUUCUUUUCAUUUGAUAAGAACCAAUGCAUACCAGUUGACAUUGCAAUAUUCAAGAAGAAGGAGAGUGUUCUAGAAUCCGCAAUUCGACAUCACCAUAACCUAAUCCAUGGCUUGUUUAUAUCAAGCGUAUCAUCAUUAUCGAGACAAAAGCAGUUAUUGAAAAAAAUGUAUGAUAUAAACCUUCAAACAAAUCUAGAAUUUCUUUAAAACUAUGAACACCCUAUUAAGUGACAACGCUGUAUCCAAUACGAUUGUAGAAAAGAAUAUGCAAAAAGUAAAAACAUAAAACAACUUCACACUGAUCUGCCAUACAUUUGCAUCUUCCAAGAAAAAAAUAACAAAGUAUUAAAGAAAAUACCGGAAAGCUAAUUUACUACAACAAUUGCAUUCACUGUAAUACCCCGGUCACAUAUUCAAGGAAUACGCCCACGGAAGAGCCACGGAUUAAUUCCGGCAUCGUCCGUAGCUACCCGUACUGGUCAGUAGCUCUCCGUAUUGUAACCGUAAUCAAUCGUAGUAGUCCUGGUAUAUCCGUAGCGAUCCUUGACAAUUUUUGAACAUGCACAAAAAUUUGCUACGGAAAAAUCAACCGUAGCGUAUCCCUGCUAGUCCGUAUUGAAACGUACCGAUACUUACUGGUCCGUACGAAAACCGUACUAGUCCGUACUGAUUCGUAGCCCACCAACUUGUCAAGGAUUUCGACGGUUUGGUACGGAUAACCUACGUUUAAGCU